rnacentral:rRNA from 1 species
AUUGAACGCUAGCGGGAUGCCUUACACAUGCAAGUCGAGCGGAGGGGUGAACGGGUGAGGAAUGUAUAGGAACGUGCCCAGUCGCGGGGGAUAACUACGCGAAAGCGUAGCUAAUACCGCAUCCUAUUAGAGCGGGCGAGAUCGGAUUAGCUCGUUGGUGGGGUAACGGCUCACCAAGGCGACGAUCCGUAGCUGGUUUGAGAGGACGACCAGCCACACUGGGACUGAGACACGGCCCAGACUCCUACGAGAGGCAGCAGUGGGGAAUUUUGGACAAUGGGGGAAACCCUGAUCCAGACAUCCCGCGUGUGUGAUGAAGGCCUUCGGGUUGUAAAGCACUUUUGGCAGGGAAGCGUUACCCGCAGAAUAAGCACCGGCUAACUACGUGCCAGCAGCCGCGGUAAUUC